GUUUUCUUAAAAUCUGGUAUAUUCAGAGAAGUGUACAUAAAAAAAGUGAUUUUUUUUUUACGAAUGCCUACUUUGAUUAAUCAGUGAGCGAUUAACCUCUAUUAAGGAGGUUAUUAUCACAUAUAGAUUUUCAAUAUUAUUAAUUUUUUUAAAUAACAUAGAAGUUAAUAUGGAUAUUGGAUUUUCAUCAUACCACAAUGGUGGUCCUACAAGAGAACAAGAUUUUGGUAGGCUAUCUCAGACCAUUGGUACAUCUAUUUUGAAGAUAUCUCAAAAUGUGUCUUCUAUGCAAAAAAUGGUCAAUCAAUUGGGCAGCUCUACAGAUUCUCAAGAACUACGAAAUCAAUUACAUCAAAUACAACAUUACACACAACAGCUGGCAAAAGAUACUAGUGUACAUCUUCGAGAUUUAGCUAUAUUAUCUAAUAAUUCAGGAUCUACUAGUCCUGGAGAACAAAGACAACGUAAGAUGCAAAGAGAACGUCUACAAGAUGAAUUUACAAGUGCAUUAAAUUCUUUUCAAGCAGUGCAAAGACUUGCAGCCUCCAAAGAGAAAGAAAUGGUUAGAAGAGCCAAAGCAAGUGCAGGUAUUACUCCAUUUGGAGAAAAAAAACAAGAGACAUUAAUAGAGUUACAAGAUAGCAGAACUCAGAAACAAAUUCAGCAACAACAAUUACAAGAAGAACAAAAUUUGCGAAUGUUGGAAGAACAGGAAGCAAGUAUAAGACAGUUGGAGAAUAAUAUUAGUGAUAUCAAUCAAAUUUUCAAAGAUCUUGGUACUAUAGUAUAUAAUCAAGGAGAAGUUAUUGAUUCCAUAGAAGCAUCUGUUGAAAGAACAGAAGUAUCAGUCAAUGAAGCUACUUCACAUGUUAGACAAGCAAGUAUAUAUCAAAAUAAAUUACGCAAGAAAAAAUGUAUAUUAGCUCUCAUUGGAGCGAUUGUAUUAUUUAUAUUAAUUGGAAUCAUUGCUUGGCAAAGUUCUUAAAUAUUUUAUAAAAUGGAUAUAAUGAUAAAGAUAUAGUUGCAUUUUAAUUGCAAGAUACCAUAUUGGUAUAUAUAUAUUUCUUGAGAAAAA
rnacentral:misc_RNA from 1 species